GAUGAACGCUAGCUGCAGGCUUAACACAUGCAAGUCGAGGGACCGGCGCACGGGUGAGUAACACGUAUCCAAACUGCCCUUUACUCGGGGAUAGCCUUUCGAAAGAAAGAUUAAUACCCGAUGUAAAGGAUGGGGUUGCGUUCAAUUAGGUUGUUGGUGAGGUAACGGCUCACCAAGCCUUCGAUGGAUAGGGGUUCUGAGAGGAAGUUCCCCCACAUUGGAACUGAGACACGGUCCAAACUCCUACGUGAGGCAGCAGUGAGUAAUAUUAGUCGAUGGGCGUUAGCCUGAACCAGCCAAGUAGCGUGAAGGAUGAAGGCUUAUGGGUCGUAAACUUCUUUUAUAUAAGAAUAUGUAUUAUAUGAAUAAGGAUCGGCUAACUCCGUGCCAGCAGCCGCGGUAAUUC
rnacentral:rRNA from 1 species